CUGAGCUGUUUAUCUCCAAGUUCUUUCACUAUUUGGUAGGACUGGAUCUGGCAAACCUUACCAGACCCACAUGAGCAGUUGAAGUGGAACUACUCACUCCAAGGAGGAGUGCACAAGUGUCCUAAGCAAGUGUGGCAAUCAUCAUGAUGCAGAAACAACCCCUUCUCUAGAAUUGCCUUCCUCUGUGCUGGGGGUUGGCCUCUUAUGGGAACUAUUUCCCAGAAGGCUUUUCUGGGGCCUGGUUCCUCUAACUGUGACAGAGACAAGCAGCUGCAGCUGUGAAGUAGCCAUUUUGCAAGAGAAUGCUGCUGUCUGCAUCUCCCAGUUGUCCAGAUGUUUGAUGAAGAUUUAGCAGCAAGCGGGUGAAUCCAUGUAGCCCCUUUAACAAAUGCAGGCUUGGGGAAAACUCAAGGUCAUGACUGUUCUGAAUAAAAAUAGUGGCAUAGGAGACUUGGAUCAGAUACAAAGAAAAACCACUGUUUGUUACACUGUUCAUGAACCAGGAACUGGCAUGGAAGCAGAAGUUUAAUAUCCUUUCAUUCUUUUAAUUCUGUGUAUUAUUAGAACAGUUGCUAAACACUCUAAUGCUUUAAGAUCUGACCUUUUCUCCUGGCCAUACAGCUAAAACUCUCAUGAAGGCCUUCAUCAUCUGCCAUUUUGAUUAAUGUAACAUUCUCCUCAUUUGUCUCCCUGGUACCCACGUCACCAACCUCCAGUCCACACAAAACAGUUGUUAAGACUGUUGUCUUUGCCUGUCCAUCUGACCAGUGCCCUCUUUGAAUCCUUAUACUGCCUCCAUCUUCUCCACUUCAUCCAGCUCAAAUUUUCUGUGAUCACCUGCAUGGUCCUAUAUAACACUAUCCUUCCCUGUUUAUCCAUAACCGUAUCUAAUGCAAUUACCACUCUGUCCCCUCUGUUCUGCCAUUGUUGGCAGUUCCAUUACCCCUGCCACAACUAUCUUCUCCGCUUUCUCCCAUGCAGGUUUCUAUGCUGGGAAAACUUUGGUUUGCUCUAAGUUACAUUAAAGGCUGUUUUGGCCCCAAACUGGUCCAGAAUUAGGGGAGCAGAACAGUGUCUCAGACCUAGAGUUGGCCAGGAACUGGAUUUUCUGUUAUAUGGGAAAUGCCACAUUCUGAAAUGGAAAAAAAAUGAAAUUUUUUUGAAAUGUCCCAUGAAAUGUUAUUCAGAAAAAAAUUCCUGGUCGAUCCCAAUAUUGCUUUGAUAAAAUUAAAACAUUUUUGUUCUCAUUUUGACCUUUUAAACUUGACAGCUUUACAAAAUGUUUUUUAUAUAUUAUA